AAGGUUUAACAUUCAAAGUAGGAAUUGGCAUGGCUUGUUUUCCUUUUAAUUGGAGAAGCAAAAUACAGGAUGGUUAUUCAGAAAUCAGGGAGAAUAUGUUAGUUCUAUGUUAUUUGUUAAUUAAAAAGGGGAGGGAGCAAGAGAAAUUCCAUUUUGUAACAUGCUAAUCCACUCCCAGAUAUGCACACAUUAUGAUUGUAUAUAUGUUUAAUUUUUUUUAAUUUAAAAUUUCAAUACUUUAGGGAGGUAUACUAAACUAUAACAAUUAUAUAAUUAUCAAGAAAAGUAGAAGUACAAAAAGUGAGGUGACAUCAUGAAAUGGAGAGAUCUGUGAAGAUAAACAUUUGUUAAAUGAACUGUUUAAUUGACAUUAAACCUAAUUUACUAAUAUUUUAAUGAGUAAGAUGUUUCCUUGAAAUUGUUAUACCCAGAUAUUAUGUGUGAAGUAGAAAGCACAGUUAUACAUUUCUGAAUUUAUUAAAAAUGUACAUCUGCUAUAUUCAGUAAUUAGUCAAAGCUCAUUUUUAUAAGAAUAAUAGAGCAAUUUGUUAAGGAUAUAUAAUAAACCAAAGCAACUUGGACUAGCUAAUGACAGUUAUGGGUUUGCGCUAUUUUUCUGUGCAAAUUAAGUGACAAAAGUUAGAAGCAUUUAUUCCUACAAAAUAUGCCUGCUGUUAAGUUACUUCUGGAGUCUUCUAAACUAUUUCUCACACUGACGUAUCUUGGAAAAGACAUAUGUAUACUAUCUGCCAAAUUCUGAAUCCAUUAAAAUUAUCUUGAUACCAGAUGCCUAUUUUUUUCAUAAUUUUUAACACCACCUUGAUCAUUUAGCAAUAAGGGGGAAAGUGUGCUUUCUUUAAAGUCUCUCUUUCUAGCCUUCAAAUUCCAGUUACAUUUGUAGAGGCAAAAUAUCACACUUCUAUUUCAUGGUUGUUUAUUAGCUUUUUGUUUAUUUUGGAGUACCACUCCAACCUUGGUUCAUUGUUCAAGUCUUGUUCCUUAUAGAACUUUAUCACGGGCAGCCUGAAGAAGAUCAAAAGAAACUAUGAUUACUGGGUAGGACUGUCACAGAACGGGCCCGACCAACCUUGGCUUUGGCAGGAUGGCUCCUCUCCUUCCGCUGAACUGUUGCCAAGACAGAGGUCCCAGUCAACUAAUCAGGUCUGUGGAUACCUCAAAGACAACGACCUUUCUUCUGCAAACUGCAGCAUUUGGAAAUAUUUCAUCUGUGAGAAGUACGCACUAAGAUCUUACACCUGAAAGAAAUUUUGCUUGAAGUGAUCACUCCAUUAUGCUCAUAUUUGCAACAGAUCCUUCAAAAACCUGUAAUAAUGAGCCUAAGAGCCAGCGCAGAACUAAACCAGUGCAAGGGCUGUAAAACCAGCUACCUGGAACACAAAACCUAUCUUGCCUUUACACUUGGUAAUAUUCCUCAAUGCUUUCCAGAUGUUUCUUUGACACUGUUCAAAUUAAUUACCAAGGAUAAAAUUGGUUUAGAGCAACAGAGGACAAAACUGUAAAGAGUGGAGAACAAGCUGAAGAAAAAUCAUUUCCAUUUGUCUUUUUUUUUCUUUCUCUCUCUAUUUUUUUUUUUAAUUUAGAGUGACUGUAAACUCUACAAAAUCAAUAAAUCACUGGUGAGAUGAUGCAAUUUUAGCUAACUGAUACCUUUUUUAAUAAAUGAAUAAAUGUGA